rnacentral:rRNA from 1 species
GGAGGCGGAAGGUAGUAAGGCCGUAAGAUCGAUGAAGGUUUUAAGAAUGUAAAAUUGUUCCAUGAGGGUAGAAACAAAUGACGGUACCUCGAAAACAAUCCAUGGCGAAUUGGGUGCCAGCAGCCUCGGUAAUACGUAGGUGGCGAGCGUUGUCUGGAUUUUCUGGGAGUAAAGGGCGAGUAGGCGUGAUUUCAACUCAGAUGUGAAAUUUAGAGGCUUAACCUCUAGGACACAUAGGAAAGAGCGGUUCUUGAGUGAUGGAGAGGCAGGCGGAAUUCAUUGGGUAGCGCUUAAAUGGGUAGAUAUUAGGAGGAACACCAGUGCGAAGGCGGCCUGCUGGACAUUAACAGCAAAUGAGGCGCGAAAGCGUGGGGAGCACACAGGAUUAGAUACCCUGGUAGUCCACGCUGUAAACGAUGGAUAUUAGUUGUGGGGGGUAGUGACCCCCUCCGU